CCCCCAAUCCAAGAUUGAUCCAUAUGAGGUUAGGGCCCGUGCUAAACAGGUUGUGCAAGAUCAGCGCCGUCUGAAGGUCACUAUGUUGUAAUAUGUGGCUAUGAUGCUAUGACAGAUGAGUUUGAGAUUAGAGAUCCAGCGAGCUCUGGGAAACAUGAGAAGGUCACAUCAAAGCGCCUAGAAGAAGCUCGCAAAUCCUUUGGAAUUGAUGAAGAUCUUCUCUUGAUAUCUUUGGAGAAGGGAGAGAAUCAGAACACCCAUUCGGUACAGCUCUCUUCGCUCGUCACUUUUGAUAGAUGACAUU